UUGUAGCCUAUAUUUUAUUUUUUUUGCACGUUUUUUUAGUGUUUAAAAGUAUGUUCAUCAUCCAUGCGGUCGCUGUGUCCGGGGUAUGUAUUCACGACGUGUCCAUGUUUCUGGUCAGGCCGUCUCGGUUGGGAAGAAUCGUGAUUCACAACAGGACAGCGCGCGAUUUCCACAGCCCCGGAGCGCGUCAGCAGCCGGCUAGUCUCGUGAGCGUCACUGUCGAUGGUCUUCCCCGAUCACAGGCGCCUCUGCGGCUCAGCCUGACCUCUGCCCCGAGUGCCUAAAACCCAUUCGCGCCGCCAUGUGCUUGCACUCAUCCGACGGACAGCACGGACAGACGUCAGGCGGUCGGCCCCGCGCUGCUCAGAGCUGCCCAGCUCCAGGUCCGAGGUUCGGCAAGCAAAUAGGUGUGCGAGUUCGGAAACGGCAAGACCACGCAGAAGCGUGACCUAACGUGUGACGCUAUGUUUUAAAAAAAUAAACCCCGUGUACUGGGCGCUCUGCGAUUCCAGAGGCCAACGUGUUCACACACCUGCUUCCCCCGGCGCUGAAUGAAGCACCUUCUGGAAUCCGCAUUACUGAGCCCAGCUACGUGCGAGGAGGGUCAUCUCCCCACAACAGGGCUCUGUUUGGAGGAGUAACAUUGUGCACAUGUGUCGUUCUCUCCACUGCCUCACACACGCGGGUCGUGCCGUGUACCCUGUAACUCUCAGCUGCCUGCACGUACGGGACGCCUACUCAAAGCUGGCGGAGCCCCGAACAUCCUGACUUGCUCCAGACCCACAGGGCCACCGGACCACAACCCGGACACGAUUUCGACCGGCAGCGACUCUUCCCGAGCCCGGGACUUUUUGCAUUCUUCGGCUGUUCGAGAAUCACGUCCAAGCAAGUUGAGGGGCGACGCAGACAACAGAGCAUUAUGUCAGGGCUGAGCUCUGCUCGGACAAUCGCAAUCGCAGUCUUGCGAAGCGAAAGGGUCACGCGUGUCAAAGAGCACUCGCUCUCUGUUUUUAGGGGAGGGAGAGAGGAAGAACGUUAGACUGCACAUUGUGUAAAAGCGGCAGCUGUAAUUAUUGCUAAACACGGCAGG